rnacentral:lncRNA from 1 species
GGUAUCACAAAUAUGUACCUUCACGUCAAAAGGUUGGUGACUUUUUCAAGCAAAAUCUAAGUGCAAAAGUCUGAAUAAAGUACUUCAAGGUAAGGGCAAGUCACACCAAAAGCUGGAAAAAGUCUUAACAAAUAAUAUGCAUGUAUGGUCUCUCUUGAGGAAAACAAAUCCUAGCCAUGGUAAGCAAAAGGGAAACAAGGAAAGAAGGUGAGUAAUCUUCAUGCAUAUAUUAUUCACUGCAAUGCUUCAAAAUAGGUGUCUUGAGUAAGAGUUUAAGUGGAAAUAAGGAUCUAGAGCAAAGAAAGCUUGUUUGACUAUGUUUAUUUGCUUGAGGACAAGCAAAAGGCUAAGUGUGGGGGUAUUUGAUAGAGCAUAAUUUAGUCCAUUUUAUAUUAAUAUUAUUGAUAAAUAUUUACAUGAUUUCUGCUUAAUUUAUUGCUUUUAAUAUUAUUUUGCAGAAAAUGGUGUAAAAGGACAAUUUGGAGAAAAUCCCCCUAAAACUGCCUUAUUUGGAGCCAAGAAAUAAUUGGGCCCGCACAUGACAGCCCAUUCUUGCAAAGAACUAAGCAAUUCACGUGGACCACAUUCACAGGCAAUUAUGGACAGCCC